GAUGAACGCUGGCGGCGUGCCUAAUACAUGCAAGUCGAGCGAACGGACGAGAAGCUUGCUUCUCUGAUGUUAGCGGCGGACGGGUGAGUAACACGUGGAUAACCUACCUAUAAGACUGGGAUAACUUCGGGAAACCGGAGCUAAUACCGGAUGAUAUUUUGAACCGCAUGGUUCAAAAGUGAAAGACGGUCUUGCUGUCACUUAUAGAUGGAUCCGCGCUGCAUUAGCUAGUUGGUAAGGUAACGGCUACCAAAGCAACGAUGCAUAGCCGACCUGAGAGGGUGAUCGGCCACACUGGAACUGAGACACGGUCCAGACCCCUACGGGAGGCAGCAGUAGGGAAUCUUCCGCAAUGGGCGAAAGCCUGACGGAGCAACGCCGCGUGAGUGAUGAGGGUCUUCGGAUCGUAAAACUCUGUUAUUAGGGAAGAACAUAUGUGUAAGUAACUGUGCACAUCUUGACGGUACCUAAUCAGAAAGCCACGGCUAACUACGUG
rnacentral:rRNA from 1 species